UGUGUGUGUGUAUAUUAUUCCUCUAAAACAGGGAUUAGAUUUGGAACCCUAAGAAUACACUCGAAAAGUUCGGCUGCUUUCUUAGAGAAGUUGAUUUACUUUUCCUUUGAUUUUAGAAAAUUUAAAGAGCUUCUUUGAGGAUUUCUGGGUUUUUCAUAAGUCAAAAUUGGUUUGAAGCUGAAAAUUUCUCUUCUGGGCUCUGUUUGUUGCUAUUCAUUGUUGUGUUUAUUUAAAGCUUGGUUGAGCUCCAGAUCUGGUUAUUUUGACCUCUCAUUUUGGUCUUCCAUACAAUAGUUGGAGCUUGGUUGAGCUCCAAUUAUUCUGCCUUUAUGUAUGUGGUUGUACCUCUAUACUUUAC
rnacentral:lncRNA from 1 species